CGGAAGGGCAUGCUGUUUGGUUCUUUAAAACUUCCUGCCAAACUGAAGAAACUGAGAAACUGAACAUACACAGAUAUUUGGGGACUAACUAGGAAGGAUAUAAGCAGACAACUUAAAAAUAUUUCAAACAACAGCCCCUUGAUGCAGUCACUUUGGAGUUUUAAAAGAAUGCCAGCAGGCAGCUCCACCUGACGUUCAUGCAGGAAAUAUAAUGCAAGAGGAAGAGCAGCAGACUCCUCUUCCCAAUUCAGAUUCUGCGUCUUGACCAGCUACUAUGAAGUUACCCCGCCUUUGAGUCACCAUACACAAAACAAGGACAGCAAACUAUGCCUGCCAAAUGAUAGAAGCUACCUGGAAACAGGAUGUGAUGUGCUUCGUCCAAAAUAAAAUAUUUUUCUCAUGUUAAA